AGUGUUCAGCCCCUUAACCUAAGGAGGAGCUACACAAAUGAAGAACUGUGGAACUGACCUCAGAUGCUCUCUCGUUGGAAAUUGGCACGCAAACCACAACCACGAUGGCGGCUUCUGAGAGGUGGAGGAGAGGGGUGUGGCAAAGCAGCAAGGAAGGGGGUCUGGGGUCCAGCCCAGCUGGGACAGUGAAGGUUCCCUGUUCAAGGCCACAGUGGAUGAAGUCCCCAAGAGGGAAGUAAAUGCCACCUGUGAUCUGGGAGAGAAAGAGAAUCAAAGGACACAGAAGCUGCUGCCUCCUGCCCUUACCACAGCCAUCCUGGGAACAUCGUUUGUUUGUUUAGUCUUUAGAUCAUUCACUGGCUGAUUCAGUCAUUCCCUGGUUCAUUAUACAUUCAUUCAUUCAUUCAUUCAUAACUCAUUCUUUGUUUCUCUCAUACAUCAACUAACUCACAACUUGCCUUACUCACUGUGACAGCUGACAUUCAUUGAGAUGCUGUGUGACAGACACAGGCAUUGCAGAUGAAUUUUGUAGUUUGUACUAAAAACUACAAACAUUACUGAGAGAAAAUCAAGAAGGUCUAAAUAAAUGAAGUGAUAGACUCUAAUUUUGAAUUGGAAGACUUAAUAUCUUACUAUGUCAAUUCCUUUUAAAUUGAUUUGUAGAUAAAA
rnacentral:lncRNA from 1 species